UACGUAGGUGGCAAGCGUUUGUCCGGAAUUAUUGGGCGUAAAGCGCGCGCAGGCGGUCCUUUAAGUCUGAUGUGAAAGCCCACGGCUCAACCGUGGAGGGUCAUUGGAAACUGGGGGACUUGAGUGCAGGAGAGAAGAGUGGAAUUCCACGUGUAGCGGUGAAAUGCGUAGAGAUGCGGAGGAACACCGAUGGCGAAGGCAGCCCCCUGGGCUAGCACUGACGCCUCAGGCACGAAAGCGUGGGGAGCAAACAGG
rnacentral:rRNA from 1 species